GGACGGAGAUGGGGCUGAGCUUGGUGGGGGCGCAGCACGCCUUAGGAACCUCAUCAGGCUUCAGGAGUCUCCACAUAGAGACGUAUUCCCAGGUUGCUGCGGGGAUGGAGGAGCCAGUGGUUGGAAGCCGAGGUGACGUCGAAGGCCAGCCAGCCCUCCUGUCCUGCAGGCACAGACUGCAUGUCCAGCAGCACCAGCUCUGGCUCUCUGUGGGAAAAAGCAAGAUGUACAUUUGAUUAAAAACAGCUGAAGUGCAGACUUUCUGGACCAAAACUGAAGAUGAACAAGCAUGAAAGAGGUGAGGGAUAAAAUCAAAACUGUGUUUCUCUGUUACUUCAUCUUUCUGGACGAGGCAAAGACACUGUGUGAAUUUGUAGUCAACAUUGUCCUUCUCAGAAUCAUGAUUUAAUAUUUAAGUUUUCCUCAGUAUCACAGUAAUUCAUAGGUACACUGACCAACCAGAGACGAAAUAGGCGGAGCAGUAUCAGCCGACCAAUCAGCGCUUUGUCUCUCGACGUUGGUCGGCGUGUGACGUCAGUGCCCGUGAACUACGUGGGGAGGCAAAGCAGAGCGGGGGAGAAACAAUGUCGGAAAAACGAGGAAAACCAACGUUUGAGUCGUCGCUUUGGCCUGUUAGUUUCUUCGUGACUGAAGAAGUCUGUGCUAAAGCAAGCAAGGGAGCUGUUUUUGUCCAACAGGAGGUUGAACGUUGAGCAUGCGUGCGAAGAUCUACUUGUUUGGCUGCUGCAGUCUGGACAGAAUUACCAGCUCUCACCUUACAGACUAAAAGGGUCUAGUUGUUACGCCGCUGCAGCCACGACAGAAUUAGCAGCUCUCACCUUACAGACCAAACAGGUGAAUUCACAGAAACAACUGGAGUCACAAAGGUGAAGCAGGAGGAGGAGACGAUGGCAGCUGAAGUCCUGGACCUGAAAUGAAGAGAGGAAACAGUUGUGAAGCUGUUAAUUACAUGGGCAGUGUCAUAGAAGAACUCCAGCAGCCCACCACCAAGUGGAGACUCCCCUACCUCCAUUUGAUCAAUGCAGGGCACUUUGUUUCUCCUACCCAUUAAUUAUGAGCACAUUUUCCAAAGAUUGUCUCAGUUGAGCAACUUUACUGACAUUUAACUGUUGUGGAGUAAAAUGUUUUUAAAGCUGCUCAAUGGAGACAUGUUAGUUCUAAAUGUGCUCAUAACUAAAGGGUGAGAGAGUAAAACCAUCUGUCAUUACCUUUGCUAUGGUUUAGUAAAUGUUGUUUGGAAUAAAAUCAUUAAAAAUGU